rnacentral:rRNA from 1 species
UUAAAAAGUUAAUUGUGAGAUUCAAUUUAAUUUGAAAUUUUUAAAUUAUUAUUUUUUUUAAUUUAAUUUUUAUUAAAAUAAAUAAAUUAAUUUUAAUUAUAUAAGAUGAAAAAAUUAAUUUUAAUUAUAGUAUAUUAAUAUUGAAAAAGAAUUAAAUAUUUAUUUUUAAGAAAAAUUUAUUUUUUGUACCUUGUGUAUCAGGGUUUAUUAACAAGAAAAUUUAAAUAAAUUUAUCUCGAAUUUAAAAGAGCUAAGAAGUUAUAUUUUUUAUUGUAAAAUAAAUAUUAUUAAUAAUUUUUUAGUAAUGAAAUGUUAAUCGUUUUUAAAAAUAUCUAGUUUUUUAAGAAAUAAAUUUAAUUUAUUUAUUAUUAAUAAAAUAUUAAUUUAUUAAUUUUUUAUUAUUAAUAUUUAAUAUUUUUAGGGAUGAGCUUAAAAAUAUAUUUUUAUAUAUUUAUAAAUUAAAUAAAAUUGUAGGAUUAAAAUUUUUUAUCAAUAAAAAAAUGUUAUAAUUAAUUUAUAAUAAAUUAUUAUUUUUAUAUUUAUAUUAAUUUUUUUAUUAAAAUAUUAAUUUAAAUUUUUAAAAUUAAGUAAUGAUGAUAAAAUUAGUAUAAAUAAUUAUAAUAAUAUAGUUUAAUUUUAGUUUAAAAAAAGGAAUUCGGCAAAUUAUUUUUUACCUGUUUAUUAAAAACAUGUCUUUUUGAGUAUAAUUUAAAGUCUAGCCUGCCCAAUGAUUAAUUUAAUGGCCGCGGUAUUUUGACCGUGCUAAGGUAGCAUAAUCAAUAGUUUUUUAAUUGAAAGCUGGAAUGAAGGGUUGGAUAAAAAAAUAACUGUCUUUAUUUAAUUUAAUUAGAAUUUUAUUUUUAAGUUAAAAAGCUUAAAUUUUAUUAAAAGACGAGAAGACCCUAUAGAGUUUUAUAAUUAUUUUUAUUAAUAUUUUAAGAAUUUAUUUUAUUAAUAAAAAUAAUUAUUUAAUUGGGGUGAUUGAAAAAUUUAAUUAACUUUUUUUAUAUUAAUACAUUUAUAAGUGAAAAAUUGAUCCAUAUUUGAUGAUUACAAGAUUAAAUUACCUUAGGGAUAACAGCGUUAUUUUUUUUGAGAGUUCAAAUCGAAAAAAAAGAUUGCGACCUCGAUGUUGGAUUAAAAUUAAUUUUUGGUGUAGUAGCUAGAAAAUUAGGUCUGUUCGACCUUUAAAAUUUUACAUGAUCUGAGUUUAAACCGGUGUAAGCCAGGUUGGUUUCUAUCUUUAAUAUAUAUUUAUACUUUAGUACGAAAGGAUUAAGUAUA